GAGACACCCUUAUGUGCCAAGACUUGUUUCAGAGGGGCUUUGGUGCUCACUGAGUCUGCCCCCUGAGUGUGUCCCU
rfam:Myotis brandtii contig190114, whole genome shotgun sequence.